UCGGGAAUUUUGGGCAAUGGGGGAAACCCUGACCCAGCAACGCCGCGUGAAGGAUGAAGUAUUUCGGUAUGUAAACUUCGAAAGAAUAGGAAGAAUAAAUGACGGUACUAUUUAUAAGGUCCGGCUAACUACGUGCCAGCAGCCGCGGUAAUACGUAGGGACCAAGCGUUGUUCGGAUUUACUGGGCGUAAAGGGCGCGUAGGCGGCAUGACAAGUCACUUGUGAAAUCUCUGGGCUUAACCCAGAACGGCCAAGUGAUACUGUCGCGCUAGAGUGCAGAAGGGGCGAUCGGAAUUCUUGGUGUAGCGGUGAAAUGCGUAGAUAUCAAGAGGAACACCUGAGGUGAAGACGGGUUGCUGGGCUGACACUGACGCUGAGGCGCGAAAGCCAGGGGAGCAAACGGGAUUAGAUACCCAUGUAGUCCCUGAGCGGGCUGGCAAGGCGCAU
rnacentral:rRNA from 1 species